rnacentral:siRNA from 1 species
UAUGGGAUGUUUGUUUGUACCCAA